CGCCUCUUGAUUUUUCCCCAUAAGAGGUCAGACCUGCCCAGUGACAUUUAUGUUAAACGGCCGCGGUAUUUUGACCGUGCUAAGGUAGCGCAAUCACUUGUCUUUUAAAUGAAGACCCGUAUGAAUGGUUUCACGAGGGCUUAACUGUCUCCCCCCCUUGGUCAAUGAAAUUGAUCUCCCCGUGCAGAAGCGGGGAUUUCCUCAUAAGACGAGAAGACCCUAUGGAGCUUUAAAUACAUAUGUACAUCAAGUCAAAAACAUAAAAGCAAGAACUAAUUGACCACUAUAUAAUACUUUUGGUUGGGGCGACCCCGGAGAAAAUUCAACCCCCGUGUGGAAUAAGGACACUUAAGACUAGCUUCUUCCCUUUAAACUCAGAAAGCCAUUUCUAGUCAACAGAACAUCUGACCUACAGGAUCCGGCACAGCCGAUCAACGAACCUAGUUACCCUAGGGAUAACAGCGCAAUCCCCUCUUAGAGUCCCUAUCGACGAGGGGGUUUACGACCUCGAUGUUGGAUCAGGACAUCCUAAUGAUGUAGCUAUUAUUAAGGGUUCGUUUGUUCAACGAUUAAAGUCCU
rnacentral:rRNA from 1 species